CACUGCUCCGGCUCCGCAUCCCGCUGCAGUGGUGUCAGCAUCGCUGCCGUGCCGGGAGCAGAAGGAGCAGCGCCUGCCCCGAGGCACCCGUGCAGGGGACCUUUAAUUGUGCACCCAAACGCGAUGGCGGCGCAGAUCGGCUCUUUGCAGGCAGAUUUUUAGAUUCUCAAGUGACCGAUUGCCUCAUAUGUGAGAUCUGUUUACAAACCUUCUUGUUACUAUGAAGACAAAACAGAGAGCCAUAUGCAUUCAUGUGGUCCUCGCUGAAUAAUGGUACAUGUGUCUGCCUGAGCCCUUGGCAGCGCAUCGUGUUUGGUUUGUGUGGUGGCACCCCACAAGGCCAUUCUUUGGGCUUUUAACUGUUUGUGAGACAGCUGGCCAUCGGUUACGGGGACAAACUUUGUGACAGAGCUGGAAGUUUUCUAAGCCUGAAAUGUCAACAUUUAUUCGGGUUGCUGUUUUUCUGAACUAGGUUUGCACAAAAAUGGAAGUAAUGAGUACCAUUUUACGUGGCCUUCUUCUCAUGGCUUUCAAGCCAUCAGCAGGGGAAUUACAAUUACUGGUAGGUAAGGGGAGUAGGGAGCUGUAAAUCCGCUGCGCACAACACACUUAGCUAAUCCUGCAAUGUGUCCCAUCCAGCAGGGCAAUGCUUGCUGUUUGCACGUUGCUGUAGGUGGGAAGGUCGGUUAUGUGGCUUGUCAGGUGUUAUGAAAUACUAGCAAGAUAUCUUUACAUUUCAACGCGGUGUGGUUUUUGUAGCGUGCUGUGGUUGGCUAUGCUGAUAAUGCUGCAUCCAGCUCUGCAGGUGGGUUCAGCAAGCAGCACCUCCACAUCAUUCCCACUUGAUUCCGUGUGUCACGGUUCCAGGUACUACCAUUGGAGUGGAGCUCUGGCUUUCUCCAGCUGUCUUUGCUCCUUCUUUAAGCUGGGUCCAGCGAGGGCUGGUUCCUUGUAUUGCGACGAGGGGACAGUGCUUUACUUGCCUCGCCUUGGUCAAUGGAGAAGAGACGUUUGAACCCAAGAGCAGCUGCUUAUAAACCAUCGGUCCUCCCAGCAGGAGGUGUGAUGGGUUCCAGUCUUCAGGGAGCAUUAAUUGCUGAUCCUCUUGGGAGCCCAACAGAUGUGCUGUAUGCGCAAGCUGCGUACCUUUGCUAUUUGAAAAGUCUGAUAAGUUACGGGGAAACUGCUUUAAAAAUUAUUUUAUUUAAAGAGACAGCUUGUUUUUUUCUUGACAGAUUUUGUAAGCAGUGUCUCUGAAGCAGUGUGCAAUGGAUUAAAACAGCUAUUUUUGAAAUUACUUGGUUUUCUACUGUAAUGUAACUCCCCUUUUGUCAGUAGGAGGAACUGUCUGGCAGUUCCUGAAGAAGCAAAGAAACUGUGAGGGGAGAUGCAAGCUAGAUAGAAAAUGGAGAACAGUGUUUUUCAGUGGUACGCUUCAAUCGGUAACUUUGGAUGCUGCUUUUAAUUAAAGUAGCACGGAAUUAUCACAUAAGAACGUCAGUUUCAAGCUGUCUGUGCCGUUUUAUUAGGAAAUAGCAGCUUUGUACGGUUUUGUUUCUCUUUGUAGGAAGACUUUGCAAGAGCAGUUCUAUUUCGGCAGGAAAUAUUAAAAAGCAAUUCAUCAGGGCUGUAUUUUUCUUCAGUGAAAUUAGUGCUUGGCUGACACCCUGAAGGCAGAAAUCCUUUGUAGGUGGAAGGGUUGGAAGUGUUUCCAUUGUAACCAACUGGCGAGCCUCUCCUUGGACUUUGAGAAGUCGUCAGUGAGUGUGAGUGUAAAGGCUGUGUGAACCUCUGGGAACAUCCAUGCUUUGGGUUCUUUGCUCAAGUGGCAAACGAGAGGCACCACAUACUUCUGGUUUUAGAAUAGUGAACUCUACUUAGAAGUGAAACAAUUGACAUUGACUAACCACUCAUUAGCAGUGGGACGCCCCCAGUAAGAUUUAUCCCCACAAUCUUUCUCACUAAGCUGUGGAUGUGGAAGAGAGACGAGAGGGCUUCAGCUGCAGCAACAGUCUGAAGUGCUGUUUCCAAACCCCUGAUGUGAAAUAAUCAGAGGACAUACAAGUGUCAUAUGUAACGUUGCCUGUCAAAUUAAAAGUCUCUUUGCUUGUUUCUUAUUUUCUUGUGAUUAAUUUCUCACCACCAUUAAUAUAGUCUGAAUAGGAGUUACCUCACGUUGUGAGGAAGCGUUGUGCAUUCUGGGUGCUUAUUUUCAUUUGCCUUUUGGGCACAUUUGUACACCUGCAAAACAGUACGCCAGAGUAAUAAUAGUUGAAUGUGGACCACAAGUGUUUAUGCUCACAGCAUUGCCCGUGUUUCCGUAUUUCCUCCUCCUGCCCUGGGCAUGCCUCUUUUGGUGCUUUCUUGAAGUUGAAUGUUGCCUUUGCCUUUGUCACUGAUUGCUGUGAUUGUCAGCAAAGGGGUUUCUCUUAGUAAGCCAAAACCUAUACGUGCUGGUUUUUUUUCUUCUCCUCUUUCUUUGGAUAGGAAUCUCAGGCCUUGUGCUCCAGAAAAUGUGACGGUAGUCUUGAAGUUCUACAUUACAACAAUGUGGUUGUAAUUAUCUGAUAGGAGUUCCCCCAGCAUUUGGCUGUGAUGGUAUGAUGAGUUUGUGUGGCGAUUUUUAUCCUUUUCUUCUGCUCCUAUCAGAGUAGUUGAGAUCUCAACAGGAAAACUGUAAAACUUCUAAAACUGAUGUGAAAACUGUAAAUAUUGUACAGAAGUCGUUGGUGAGGUGUUUAUGGCCACUUCACGCACACAUGGCUUUGAUUUGUUGCGCCUCAAUUUGUGUAACAGAAAAUAAUUUUACUGUGGGUUUUGGUUUUUAUUUUAUUUUUACUUGUGUUUGACGGUUCUCUUCUGAUACAUUUAUCAAGUCUGAAAAUUGCCACUCUAAUAUGAAAGAAUUUCUGCCUGCAGGAAAAAAAAAAAACAUAUUAAGAAUAGAAGUUCACUUUGUUGCAACUUCAAUAAGCUGUAAUAAACUCCUGCAGCUCUGGCUGAAAUCUCUCAUUUAUGGAAGCUGUGAAGAGGUUAAAAAAAUAUAUAUGGUAAUUAUUAAAAGGUAUACUUUAAUGGCUCUUGGGUUAUAAAAGAGGAGCUCCGUGUUUGGUUGCUACAGAAAGUUUAAUUUUUAAAUAGUGGUUUACGGACCAGAUAGAUUAUUUGCACGUGUAGUUCAGUUCAGUAGAAAAGUAAAAACUAGAGGAGCCGAGGGGAAUUGAAAUUAGAAAGUCAGAUGGCAUUUAAAGGUAAUGCAGUAAAAUCUUUUGAUCCUCUUUGUAAGAAAACCCUCACAUAACACCAAAGCAGAAAAAAUAAACAACAACAACUGAUUAUUUUUCUGCAGUUCAUAGUGCGUGUUGGGCCUUUAUUUGGCUUCAGAGGGUUGGUGUUGCUCCUGGGCUGACCAGGCUAACCUCAUCCUCCCUGGACUCUGGUGGCGUGCCUGGAACUUCCCAGUGCUGGGUUUGGUGGUGAGCUGCUGCUGGAGCCUGGGUGUGCGUUCCUUCUCGAGUGGUUUAUGAAGAAGCAGUAAUACGGGAUGUUUUCUAAUAAGCAAUUUAAAAGGCUGAAAGAAAUAUCCAAUUACGUGUCGUAGAACAUGAUAUCAUCUCGGAGAAUGUAAUAGAGCAGAAUGUUUAAUUUUGUUGAAACAAGAUUAUUUAAUGAUCAGUUUUUCCAUAAAGCAGUGUCUGUGCUUAGGCGGAAAGCAGCUUUAUGUUAAAAAAACCAAAAGGCUAACAGGACAGAUGAGGGUUAUUAGGAUUAGUCUUGCUAGACAGUGUGUAUUGUUCUUUUCUGUUAAAUUCGAGAAAUGGCCCAUUCUCUGUAUUGAUAUAUUUUCAAUUUGUGGUUUGCACUAAAACAAAACACGUGUAGUGUAUCAAGAAAUAAUAGUAUGAAAUAAUAAGUGGAGCUACCCAUCCUUGACAACAAGACAUGACACUAUUUAGUUUAGAGCAAAAAGUAUUUAGUUUAUAGCAAAAACUAUUUAGUUUAGACCAAAGUCAGUAUUCAACAGACUGAGCUGCUGGCAUCUAUUAACAGUGUUCGUCAUUGUGUGCAUGGCAUUUAAGUGCUGCCUGUUCAGAAGGGUCCUCAAAGUACAUGGAGUUUCAUGUCCCUUGCCUUUCCGAAACAGGUAAAAUAGUUCAGUUACCUGGAAAAUGUAUCACUGUGUGCUCUAACUACUGUCAGUUUAGGUGGUGUUUGGAAGUGAUUUUAUAUCAUUCUGUGCACGCAUCAGCAAUGGUAAAGAAGCACUCUAGAGAUGAGUGUAAGCCCGUCUGUAGCUGACAUCCGUGCAUGCUGACAGUGCCUAACUGCAUCCCCUGUGACAACUGUGAACACAGAUCUAUCAUGAGAUUUGAGUUUCUAAUACCGUUUACAUUAUAGAAAAGAGGGUCCGGUGUUCAGUCUUCCGUAACAACAGAGAGAGACAAAUUUUGACUUUUUCCCUUUUUACAUCAGCUAUGUUUAGGAAGACAGUUUUUGUAGCUGGAAAUAGUUUUCUAGUGAGAGAGUUACUCAUAUUUGACCAGAUGUUCGUAGGCUCCUACAAUUAAAUCCCAAUGCUCUUUUAGUCAAUAAAAGUUUCUACACCAGUAAAGAUACAAUUCAACUAUGAACCUUCAGACCACAAUGUCAGACUUCUUGAUGCUGUGUGAUAUGAUAGUCUGUUUUGAUUACCAGGGCAGGUCACGAUAGAGUAAAGCUGCUCAGAGUAAAGCAGCUGUUUUGAUAUUUCUGCAAAGCUAUGCAAAUACAAUUGCUUUCAAAAUUCUUAGUAAAAUUGUAUCAAACAGAACUUGUAGCCCAUUCUAUUAUUUUGUGCAUGAUCUUACAGUAGCAGCAAGAUUCUUUCAGAAGGUAGAGAACAUUUUGACUGCUCUGUUUAGCUAGAAUUUUUGUUUCCUUAAAGCUCAAAUAAUGGGCAAGCUACGUGUAUUUAAUUGUGAUGUGCAGUUGUGGUUAAGUGUAAGGAUAGGAGUCAUUUAUAAUACACUUGAGUUGGAAAUGAUGUUAUUGAAAUGGUGCUCUGUGAUAUUAGCAUGAUGUUGGUGAAAUAAAACUUCACGGGAUGGUGUUUCUUUGAGAGCUAGAGCAAUGCCAAAUAUGUUGUCUGUACCUCCCUGGUAGUUUGGUAUGGUGGCAACGAAGUUAGGAUGGAGUAGGCACUGUUAUCUGUCAAAUUUGAUACAUAUUACAUACAUAUUGUUCACAUCAUUAUUUUUAAUCUCUGAUCUACUUAAUUACUAAUUAAAAACAUAUACAAAUCUUUACUUGUCUUUGACUUAAUUUAUCAUAGUGAGCAGUGCUAAUUAUUGGUAGAAAAUUACUGCGAAUUAAUAAAACUACUGCAUAAGAUGGUGUAACUAAUAGCACAUGUCUGAGACAGCUACAGUUUUGAAAAGAAGUAAGAUUGUAAGUUAGUACUGGUAUAUACUAGUAUGAAAGUUUCCAUAGUACCUUUCUGUGGUUUAGUUUGUUAUUGCCAGGACUUUGUCCACAAAAUGUCAGGAGACAAAGGGAUGACAAAGAACAUUAAAAUUCUCUGCUUUGUUUUUAGCUCAGCUCAUUAAUAGUUGAAAACUGUUGUCAGAUAGAAUAAUAGCAUCAUAGAAUGGCUUAGGUAGAAAGGGACCUUAAAGAUCAUCUAGUUCCAACCUCCCUGCCAUGGGCAGGGUUGCCACCCUGAUUCCAUUAAGUUGCUUAAUGGUCUCUUUGUAGGCAAAUAUUCAUCACUCCCUGUAGUGCUCUUAUGAACAAGCUCAGCAGAGAGGUGAGAGAGUAAUAGGGAAGGAAAUGAGCCUAUAUUCCAAAAUCUCCUUCCUCCAAAAUCUCUCUUUUGGAGCAAAGUCAAUAUAUUGCUGGGUUGUACAUAUUUCAGUUUCCGUAGUCUUCCAUGAUGGAAAGUUAGUCUGGACGCAUUCACUUGUAGGAGGUAAGUGUGUAAGGAGAGGAACUUCUGCUCUAGUUUUGGUCUGUGUCCUCUAUGUGAUGAUUUACAGUGGUGCAUCUUGGUUCUUGCUUGUUCUUUCACAGUAAUGGUGAAGUAGCUUUCUGUAGGCAUGCCCUGAUUUUCCUUCCCUUGCUCUCCAGAGCAGCCUCUACAUGUCAGGCAAGAGAAAGACACGUGGGACUGUGGAGUUCCUUUACACACACCUCUCCGAAACUUCAGUGCAGCGUAUUUUCCGCAAAUGGAGUGAAACCUUAUUAUUUACUUUCUCUGUCGCACACUAUUACUGCCAUAGUAAUUAAAAAAGAAAGUGAGGAGGGUACUAAAUAGGCGUUUCUGGAUGUACAGUGAAUGAAAGCUUGGAGGGGAAGUUUAAUAAUAUGUUAAGGGGAGGUUUGAAUAUGACUGGCAGUGGAUUAUAAUUGUCUUCAAGAAGAUACUUUUGUCAGAUCAGGUCUCCCUCUAACAUUAAGUCCUCAACCUAAAUAAUAUUAGUAUUUCAGCUUUAAAGUCCCUGUCAAAUUGUAAACCAUACAUGCUUGUUUUGAUGAGUAAUUAAGAUUCAUUACAAAUCACCAUCAUGGCUUUGGUGGUAGCAUCCUCUGAUUUGCAUUGAUUCCUCCACAAAAGAAUCACCCUCAGAAUACAAUGUGGAACACCGUCUUAUCUUGCUUAAUGCUUGCAGAUAAUUUUCUUUACAUUUGCUUAUGCACUGUUUUGAUUUAUUUCAGUUGCAGUAUCAUUUGAUCCUGCUCAGUAGUUCAGCCCACUUAACUAGCAAGCAAGGGAAUAAAUUAAACCAAUUUUGGACAGACUCUUUCUCUGCCAAGUGGGCUGUCUGGCAAACCAAGAGUAUAAUAAAUAGGGUUUGUGGCUAUUUACAGACUUAUAUAUUAGAAAACAGCUAUGCUUCCCAGUUUCAUUACAUAACUUGAGUGGUGGGUUAUACUCGUGUUUCUCUUAGCCAAAGAAAUGCAGUUCUGUACUGUACCCUACCUGCCUUGUAUGCUUGCUUGAUCAGUGAAACCUCAUCACUUGGUUCUGGAACUGCUUGUGAAGAUGAUUUGAGAAGUCUGUAUUUCAUCUCAGUUCAUGCGUGCUGCCAUUUUUUUUUUUAAUGUGGUCUCAUACCUUCUUGUUUGAAAUGGCGUUAUUGCUGAGGCCUUUUGUUUGUCUUUUUUCUUGUUGUUUUUUCUUUUUUUUCCCUGCUUGUAUUGUUCAGCAUAAAAAAAAAAAAAGACAUAAGAAAACCGUGUUUAUAAUAGGAUUGUGGAAUAACCGAUCCGUCCUAUGUAUUUCAUCUUCCAUGUGAAACUCAGUAGCACAGCAAUGCCGAGCUGCAUUUGCUUAACACCAAUCUUUGGGUUUUUCUUUGCACUUUCACACUUUUAAAUGCAAUUUUAAAAGAGCCCUGUACCUGUUGGGUUGAUUAAAGGGGAGGUGAACUUUUUUUUUUUAUGUGCUACAAUGAAAAUGAAAAAUAAAUAGGAAAAAGCCUAUAUCAACCAAAGCUUAUGACAUGAUGUUAAAACGUAUAACCUUGGGCAAAAGGGGCCAGUUAUUGGAGUAGUUCUUGAGUAACCUAAUUGUUUGAUAAGGAUCCUUGCCUGUUUAAGUUGUUGUUGGUUGUUGGAAGCAUUCCAUUUCUAAAUUUGUGCCUUACUGCAUACCCUGAGGUAUGUGUACAACCCACUGUAAUUGCAGAGUUUACUAUUUUAUUAAUUAGAGCUAUGAUAAUACGUUGGCUCAUGAAUUCCCUCUAAUCCAGCUAUGGUCUCCUAAUUGCCCAGGGUUCUGUAAUUCCAUUGUUUGUUAUGUGGAGGUGAUGGAGAGUGAAAGCAUGGUCUGAGGAACUCAACCCAUGCCCUGAAGCCUGCAGUUGGUGUGCUGUUGCAACCAAUGGCGGAAAGUAACUUGUGAACAUGUGGCCUUCUAUAUGGAAGUGUUCUGAGGUACAUGGGAAGAGAGACCGGAGGACAUUUGAGUGCUUCCUCAUGGCCCUGACUUUACACAUGGUUGGAUUGUGUCCUUUCACAGGGGCAGUCAUUCGUGGCCCCACAUCUAGACUGAGUUCCAAACAUGGUGAUAAAAAGCUCCACGCUUCUGUGUUCUCUAUCACACGUGUUUUAAGGUAAACGAUUCCCUGCUGAUGUUGGGCAGUUUGGAUCUUGUCAUCUUCAUUUGCCUUGUUUUCCUCAUAAAAGCAGCACAAGUUAUUUGAAUGAUCUGUUUAUAGGAUUGCUUGAGAGAAUUCCCUUAAUAAUGAGACAGUUCAACAAAAAAUCUCAAGAUAAUGGCUUUUCCAUUUGCACCUCUCAGACAUUGUUUCAAGUGGAAGCAAAAGGAUUAUUAAAACCCUUACAAGUUCCAGCUAUUCAUUAUGAGAAUGCGUCUUGAAACAAAGUCUUGAGAUGGGAAUGUUUAACAGACAGAAGGGUGAAUUUGCCCAGCCGUGUGCAGUCCUUGGAGGAUUUUGUAUCCUUGCCUGCCAAAUUCUGCCCCCCUCCCUGUUGUUUUUCUUCUGGAAAAGCAGCGUAGAAUAAUGUGAGAAGUCUCAUAAAUUAGACUGAUUUCAUAUGUAAAAAAAAAAAAAUAAUAACUUGAUGAGCUGUGAUAGCCCCUAUGAAUUGUUAUAUAAAUCUCCUUUCUUCUUUUAAAUAUGCCCCUAUAGGGUCAUUAGGCAUGUAUACUCUACAGUAGUCCUCUGUCUCAAGAGAUUUUACAACCAGUUUAUGGAAAAGGGGAAGCAAGUGGUUCUAUGAAUGCAUUAGAAUCAAAGCAAUUGAUUUUAAGUCAAAUCUCUCUUUCAUAAUUUUUCCUUGACAAUUUUCUCUACUGUUACUCAGUUUUGAUCUUAAAAGCUGUACCGAGAUGUUAAGCCUGGGAUAACCUUUUCCUUUGGUGACACGGAUACAAAAAUCACCUGCUCCCCAGUGCCUUCUGCUCUAGAAGAAGUGCUUUUCAUUUUGAAGAGUUCUGGCAUUCUCCCGUGUGGUCCCCAAGAUCCCUCCAUCUCAACUGUGAGCAAAAAGGUGAUACGUGUUGAAUGUGCCUUGUGGACUUCAGAAUCUAGACCGUGGCCUUACCCUUGCUGAAUAAGAGGGUUAAGAACCUGUGAAGGAAUCUCAGCAAAAGGGUCCAGAGACAAUUAAACAGAGGACUCCAAACUUAGUCCAUGCAGGACCUCAGACAGUAUGGCUUUUGAAUGCUACCAAUCUGUAGCAGGCAAAACCUUAGUUUUGAACUAAUUCAUUAGACAUGCAUUUCAUUUGGUUCCUUGUGUUAUGAUUUAUUUGUGUUCAAGGUGUAGCUACUUUGUGAUCAUUCUUUUCUAUUCACGUGGUGAUUUAGGGCUUUUGUUUCCAAACACCCAUUUUCCAAGAUUACAGUUAGCAGACAACAACAACAAAAUGUUUAAAUAAAUUAUUCACCUGGAAAAUUCCGGUAGUUUUUUAAAACGUAAAUGAGGUGAUGUAAGUUACGUGAUUAAGUGCAAUCAUUAGGGAAAGACUGAUUAAAUUACUCCGAAUAAAUCUCCAAAAGAAUGAGUUGUGUGAUGCUGUAUUUUCCUGUUGAAGACAGCUAGCCAUUUUCAGCAGCAUCCUUUUAUGGUAAAGGUGCUACAGAUAAUUUCUUUGGGAGGGAAGGCUUUUUUUUUUUUUUUUUUUCUUCCCCCCAAGCCUUUAAUGAACGUGAAAUGGAAUUGGGAAGUAAAAUUUAAGCAGGUCAAUGGAAGGAUUCUAACACUGAAAAACGUCUAUUUUAAGGAAUCUCCUUUAUAAUGAUCUGAAUGUGAAGAGUUGGUGGUUAUCUACUCCUUAAAAGUUUUAAGUGUACUUUUAAAGCUGUCCACCAAAUCCAGAUAAUGCUUUCUAUUUCUUUUAUACUCAUGUCUUUCUGGUAGCGCAGAUAUGUACUCGAAUUCUAGCACUAAUAUUCAUAGCAGUUCAUGCUAAUAACAGAGAGUCCUCUGUGUCUGCUUUCUAGCAGAAUUCCCCAGGCAGACUUGUUCUGAAGCCCGUAUUGGUUAGGGCAGAAGUGCUGUGAGUUGUGCUGGGUGUUAGGCUGUAUUGGAAGAGCUCACAGGCAGUCGGUGCUGUUCAAACCGCGUUCCCGUCUGUCCGUGCCAGGAUGUAUAUUCUUCACCUGCUGUCCUUCAGCCAGUGACUGCACUUGUUUUCAGCAGCCCCCAGCUGAAUUCACAUAGGUCUGUAAGCUACAGAAAGCCUGGAGUGGGGCCUUGUGGAGCACCUAUGAGUACACCUAAAUAUACUUUCUCUUCUUGUGGCUGCUUCUGUUUGCCAACUUAUGUUUGCCUGCUCAGAAGCAGUGUAAAUAGGAGAUAUGGCGUAUUACCAUUGUGCCAUUGGAAGUAUACCCUUUGCAAGUAUAUAUAUUUUUUUCUUGUUUUCGACCAUGGAGUUCGCUCUUCUGACCUUAAGUUUGUUAUUAAAUACCAAAUGCAGAGUGUAGGAGACACUGACUUGCUUAGUUGGCAGAAAACGCAGAAGUAUUUGGUGCUGGAGUGCUGUGUGAUGUUGUGGCUGGCCAAUGAAGCGUAAUAAAUGCAAGAGCCAAGCCACUUUGGAGGUAUGAAGAGUCAGAGAAGCAUUAGAGUAAUUUAAAAAAUGUAAACUGUGGGUAAAAUCUAACAACAUCAUUUCUUUAAAGUUCUUUGUUAUUUACCAGACUUCCCUCCUGAAAACCUCCUACCCUAGAAUGAGAUGCAGUUUGCAGAGCAGGAGGAAGAUUGGUUUCUGUCUGGGGACACUCGGUUUAAAAAGACAGAACUCCGACUUUAUCUCUGAUGCGACUCGAGACCACUGUGGUUGUGUCUGUAUGAGUGUGCUCUGGGUGUAUUUUUGGGUAUCCUGUAAGUCAUUUUAUUCACACUUUCAAAAUGAGGGGACCCCAGUUAAUCUGCCUUAUAUAUCAAAGCUGGUUUUAUAGCUUUACAUAUAUUGCACUGUAGGGCUAGUCAAUAAAAUUUAAAAAUGAAUUUCUUAAUUCUUGCCCUCAUUUCACUCAAGGAGAUACAUGGUCCAAGCAAUUUUUCAUUUAUUUAGUGCUGCAGAUUUUAAGAUUUCCUGAACCAACUUGUUUCCAUCAGUUAUGGUUUUGCCAUUAGUUUUAGUAGGAAAAAGCUUUCCUAGCUUUUAAGCUGGAAAGUUGGUUUGUUUUUUCGCCAUCUACCUUUUCAGAGGAAACAGUGGUGCCAGUACAAUCUCAUUGUCCGUAUCUGCAUUUAUCAAAAUAUUGAACAACAGGCCCACCUAUCAAGUGAUUUUACAUAAUUAAAUUAUUACAAAUAACAUGACUGUAGUCACCGAUAGGAAAGUAAUUCUUUUUAAGAUCCUUUGAUGUCAAGAAAAUAGUUCAUGCAGGAGCUCCAAUGCUGCACCUUUUAAGCUGGAGAUUUUCAAUUAGAAAAAGGAAAAAAAAAAGGUUGAGCCCAGCUGCUAAUGCACUGGUGAAAGGUGAAAGGUAUUACCUGCUUGUUGAACACCUGGCAAAUGGAAAAGCUGUCCACCAGACAGUUACACUUUAUGCAUUGACAAUGAAAAUUUGUUGUCACUACCUUGAUUGCCUUCAUAGCGUGCCUGAAAUCUGUCCUGUAGCAGUGGCCAGAACAGUUUGGAGACAGCAGGGAUAUUUUCCUUGCCACUGUGAGUAGAAGAAUGACUUCUGUGAGCCUGAGAGGAACAUGGGUGCUGCUAACUCUAUGUCAAAGCACGUACAUGCGUUAGUAAAGCUUGAAGUAAACCUCUGAGUACGAUGAACAAUAUCUGGAUGUGUUAUGUUUUCAG
ensembl:lncRNA